rnacentral:lncRNA from 1 species
CAAAGGUGCCAGAAAGGGGUUGGUAGAUGUUCAGUGCUUUUACCUGUUUCCAACAGACUGCUGCCCCAGUCCUUUCAAACAUAUCACUAGAAAUGUUUUAGUGUGUUUUUUGCUUUGUUGUAUUUUUUAAAAACCAAUAAAAGCCCCAUAUUGCAUGCAUUGCUUCCAAGGAUGUGUCUGCCAUUUUCUGGAACUGCAGCAGAACUUGAGUUAUAAAAAGCAGCACAAAAAUGAAGCUAGGGAAAGGAAGUUCCUUAAAAAACAAUUUCAUAUAUACUAUAUAUUUUUUUCUUAAGUCUUUAAACCUCAAUCAAUCUACUUUCUUCUUUAAAAUAGGCAGAGUUUUGAUAUUGUGAGCAUGUAACAGAAGUGGAGUCUUGUGAGAAUGCUUUUGCCAACGAAUGCCAUAUAGUGAAGAAGCGAAACGACUGUUGGGAAGGAGCUGGGUUUAAAAUGCUGGCUUUAGGACAAUCGCUUUGCUGUUUGAAGAGAACAGAAGGCAGCACAGAGACAAGCCUUCCGUGUUGAGGAGAAUGACAGGACGGGCAGGAACACAAGGCUGGGCAAGGUUGCUGAAACAAAGCCACCGAGAUGUAUCGGUCUUGAGGAAAGCUGGAGCAGAACUCAGCCUUUGCAGCAGUGCCACCAGCCCCUCGAGGACGGCGCCCAUCUGCGGGCUGCGUGUGUGCGGCUGCUGA